rnacentral:rRNA from 14 species
UAAAUACUACUUAGUGACUGAUAGCGCAUAGUACUGUGAAGGAAAGGUGAAAAGGACCCCGGGAGGGGAGUGAAAGAGAACCUGAAACCCUGUGUUUACAAGCAGCGAGAGUACGAUAUAGGUACGAUCGUGUACUUUUUGUAGAACGGACCGGCGAGUUACGUUAUGCAGCGAGGUUAAGAACUGAAGGUUCGGAGCCGAAGCGAAAGCGAGUCUGAACAGGGCGAUAGUUGCAUGACGUAGACCCGAAACCGGGUGACCUAUCCUUGGCCAGGUUGAAGUGGGAGUAAAGUCUCAUGGAGGACCGAACCA